AUGGAAGAGGUGGUUGCUGCAUCGCUCGAUAUGUCGGCCCUUCACACGACAUGUCGAAAGUCGACCGUAUAAUGCUCAGGUUUCGCCCCAUUGCACCUAAGCCAGCGGUUUCUUCCGGAUCUGCCUCUGCUGAUUCCACGCCGGACAAACCCGAGGUGACUGGAAGAAUCGGUAGAGGGAAAAAGAGGUGCGGUAGGGAUACCGGAAGUAAGCGGUGCAAUAAUCGGAGGAAGAAGAGUGUGUCAAACGACGGCGCUUUGGGUUCUUCGGUGGUGACGACGUUGCCGCUUUUGCCGGAGAUGCCGGAUUGUGUGAAGAGAGAAGGAAAAAACGCGCCGGUUUGGCUGAGUUUCGAGGGGGUGAAAGAGGAUCGGACGGCGUUGUCGGCGGUGACGGUAGCGGUGGCGGUGCCGCAGGCGGUGAGGAUGGUGGCUUCGUCGGUGACAGUGGAGCGCGUGGCGGAGAUCACGUGGGGGGAAGGGGAGGAGUUGGGGUGUACGGAUGAGGAGAGGAGGAGGAAUCUGGAGAGGGACACGUGUCCUGGGUUUAUAUCAGACGGUGGAGGGAAGGUGACGUGGACGAACGAGGCGUAUAGGGAGAUGGUGGGAGGUACCGCUGGGGAUGCGGUGAGGGUUUGGUUGGAGAUGAAAGAGACGGCGGAAGAGUGGUGGCCGGCCUUCACUUCUAGAGUUAAGGUUCAGUACCGAAGCCGGUGGGGGAAGGAUAGAAGCUCGUUGACGGCGCCGUGUGAUGCCUGGAGGAUGGACAGCGGUGGGUUCGCUUGGAGGCUUGAUGUCAAGGCGGCGCUCAGUCUCGGUUUUUGCCAACAAUGAGCCCGUUUCCAUAUGGUUCGGUUCGAUUCCGUUCUGGGAGGUUUAUAAGAGAAUUGUGUAUAGAGAGGGCUUUGUUAGGGUUCAGGUUUUAAUCAAAU
rnacentral:misc_RNA from 1 species